rnacentral:rRNA from 1 species
GCACCACAAGAACGCGUGGAGCAUGUGGCUUAAUUUGACUCAACGCGGGAAAUCUUACCGGGUCCGGACACACUGAGGAUUGACAGGCAAUAUCUCAUGGUUAUUAACCGGUAUUUAUUUAAUCGGUUAUUAAGCAUCAGUGUUAAAUAUGCUAGUCCUUUCAUGAUUAUGUGAUAGGUGGUGCAUGGCCGUUCUUAGUUCGUGGAGUGAUCUGUCUGCUUAAUUGCGUUUCACUAAGGGCCCAUAAAUUCAAGGUAUGUUAGCUAUCGUCGCUCUAUGGACCCCUUAUACUCGAUUUCGCUUUAAUUAGCGUUAUUUGUUUAAUAAGCGCGCGUCUUUAUUUAAAGAGUUUAAGACACUGCGCAUGCUG